AAUAGAUACCCGGGUAGUCCACGCCGUAAACGAUGAGUGCUAAGUGUUAGAGGGUUUCCGCCCUUUAGUGCUGCAGCUAACGCAUUAAGCACUCCGCCUGGGGAGUACGGCCGCAAGGCUGAAACUCAAAGGAAUUGACGGGGGCCCGCACAAGCGGUGGAGCAUGUGGUUUAAUUCGAAGCAACGCGAAGAACCUUACCAGGUCUUGACAUCCUCUGACAACCCUAGAGAUAGGGCUUUCCCCUUCGGGGGACAGAGUGACAGGUGAUGCAUGGUUGUCGUCAGCUCGUGUCGUGAGAUGUUGGGUUAAGUCCCGCAACGAGCGCAACCCUUGAUCUUAGUUGCCAGCAUUCAGUUGGGCACUCUAAGGUGACUGCCGGUGACAAACCGGAGGAAGGUGGGGAUGACGUCAAAUCAUCAUGCCCCUUAUGACCUGGGCUACACACGUGCUACAAUGGAUGGUACAAAGGGCUGCAAACCUGCGAAGGUAAGCGAAUCCCAUAAAGCCAUUCUCAGUUCGGAUUGC
rnacentral:rRNA from 1 species